rnacentral:rRNA from 1 species
AUACGAAGGGGGCUAGCGUUGUUCGGAAUUACGGGGCGUAAAGCGCGCGUAGGCGGACUGAUCAGUUGGGGGUGAAAUCCCAGGGCUUAACCCUGGAACUGCCUCCAAUACUGUCAGUCUUGAGUUCGGGAGAGGUGAGUGGAAUUCCUAGUGUAGAGGUGAAAUUCGUAGAUAUUAGGAAGAACACCAGUGGCGAAGGCGGCUCACUGGCCCGAUACUGACGCUGAGGCGCGAAAGCGUGGGGAGCAAACAGGAUUAGAAACCCUAGUAGUCC